GUAGUUCUUACUACCUAUGAGCUCUCAAAAGGUGUGGUAGCUUCUUGUUUUGAGGAUAAUGCAGGUCCACAGUGCAUAAUUUGUACACGGAAUGCCUGGUCAAUCCUACCGAUAACUUGUCUCCUGAUCACCUUCAUCAAAAAUGAUGGUCCCACUAACAGCAUCCAUUUAGGUAAAGUACUAUCUUUUUAUCUGACAGGAUUGGUUAUCCACUAUACUUACAAGAUUAUUCACUAAAGUAAGAAUUCAAAUGACAUUCAAGGUGAAUUUCAAAUUUCAGGCAAAAGUAGACUUAAAUUCGGAAUUCAUUUUAAAUUAAUUUUGAAUUCUCACUUUAGUGAAUAACUUUGCAAGUGUAGAGUAUUUUAUUUUCCAUGAUAUCUUUCUGCCAUGUUUAAAUGUACCAACAUUUUCUUUACGUGAAUUUGUUUAUAUUUUGGGUGUAUAGAAGGCCGAACGUUAUUUACUGUUCAAAAUAUUUCAGACACAUCUGAUAAAUAUAUAAUUUGGCACUUUUGAUAUUGUUCAAUUAAACCGAAACAAACCAUUCAUUAAAUAAAUGCUAUUAAAGUUAUAAAGCACCAAUCGAUUGCGCAGGUCUGCACGAGUUAAAGUUACAGAUUUUUCCAAAAUGAAAAUACAAAAAAUUCAAGUAUACGUACCAUUACAAAUUAAUAUUGCCGAUAUAACAAAGCUUAAAGAAUGAAAAGAUUUUAAUUAUUAUAAAUGUAUUUUGUUCUUUCCAAAUUGACUCACGCACUGCAUUUUUCUGAUUAAAAUAAAAACAAAAAACAAACCACGAGCACUGCACUCGCUUCCCCACCUUACUUGCUUGCCUGGUUGCUAAAACACAGACCAGUAGAUAGACGAAAUUGGACCGUACUAUUUUUUUAAGUAUAAGAGCUGAACAAUACUUUGUUCAGAAACAAGUUUCUUACAUGUCCAGGCUAAUCACUGCACACUGUGAUGAUUGCAAAGAACAAGUCUAAGCAUGUCAGAUUUAUUGCAAAGCUCGAGGCUUCACUUUGCAAGUUCAGACAUGUUAAGGUUUCAAUCCAAACUAUAUCCUUACCAAGAUACCACUCUGGGUACUUUAAAUAAUGAUUUACAUAUGGAAUUUAAAUGAUUUUCUCUGAAAAUAUACAAGACUAAGAAGCGUGUGAAUUGUAUUACAUUCUGCAAGAAGGUUUUCUGUCUAUUUUUUUUACUAUUUUAAGUGUUCUUUACCUUGUGGAUUCUUUAAAAUCAGUCUCAUUAUUAAACUAAGUACAGCACAGGUAAGGAUGUAUAAUAUUUAUCACUUUGCCAGUUUGCCAUUACAUUACAUUAAAGCGACAUUAUCAUAAAAAUACAAUACUAUAACAAUAGUUAAUAAGUUAUAUUUUAUUUAAAGUGAUGCUGUUAAAAUGCAGAGUACUGUUGCUCUGUGUAUCAGUUAGAUACCUGUAGGGUUAAAUACCAAAAGUGUGAAUUCUUCACAACUGACCAAGGAAUUAGAUUUUUUCUUUCAUUUACUUAUAACAUCAUAACUCCCAACAUUUCGGAUGGACAUAAAAGGACACUUUAAUUCUAGUGCUGUAAGUGGGGCUGUGGCCAGGGGCGGGCUGGUCUGAGAAAUUUUAGGUGACUUACUAGUAACAUUUUAUGAAACUAAAAUGUAAUUUAGAACAAGAACAAUGUAUCUUAUUUACACAGACUGGUUCCUAAACACAUUUAUUGUAGUUGAAAUACAUUAAAGGACCACUAUAGUGCCAGGAAAACAUACUCAGGGCACUAUAGUGCCCUGAGGGUGCCCCCACCCUUUAGGGUCCCCCUCCCGCCGGGCUCUGGGGGGAGGAAGGGGUUAAACUCACCUCUUUUUCCAGCGCCGGGCAGGGAGCUCUCCUCCUUCUCUCCUCCUCUUCGGCUGAAUGCGCAUGCGUGGCAGGAGCUGCGCGCACAUUCAGGCAGUCCAUAGGAAAGCAUUCAAAAUGCUUUUCUAUGGACGCUGGCAUCUUCUCACUGUGAAAAUCACAGUGAGAAGUGCGGAAGCCCUCUAGCGGGUGUCAAUAAGACAGCCACUAGAGGCUGGAUUAACCCAUUUAUAAACUGUUUAUAGAAAAAAGGGUUAAACCUAGCUAGACCAGGCACCCAGACCACCUCAUUAAGCUGAAGGCGUCUGGGUGCCUAUAGUGGUCCUUUAAAGCGAGUAUUAUUGAUGUGGAGCUCUGUUAUUCACUCAGACACAUCAACAAUAUGCAGCUCCUAGCAAAAAAAGGAUAUUUAUAUAGAAAAUAAGGACAGUGGGAUUUGGGAACUAAAUAUGGAUUCAGGGGAGGAGGUAGCAGUGUGUCGGGGCUGUUUAAAGCUAGUGCUUUAUCUGCAACCGACAGCUGAUUUGAGAUUUAGUGGGCUUAAUUCCAAAGUCUCUUCUUGAAAGUCAUGAGACUGUUCUUUAUUAUUUCAAUGACAUUCUAUUAAAUAUUGUACAUGUUCUGUUACUUGAUUGUUUUUAUGUAUGUAUGUGCAUUACUUCAUUGGAACUCUGGUGAUCACUGUGAACAACCACAUUCACAACAUGGUACGGCUGCAGUCAGAUUCAUGAGCAGUUCCACUCACACUGGGGUAAUGUCUGAGGGACAUUUGUUACCCUUUGUGUAUGUGGAAAACAUUGUUAUAUCAAACCAGCUAUUGUUUUUUUUUGUGUGACAAUUUUUAUUGUUUAUUUUCAGGGUACAGAAGAGAAGGGGAGGGUUAUAGGGGGAAAAUAAUUCACACAGUGAUCCAGAACAUUCUAUAGACAUGUUUUAUACCCCAUGUUUAGCAGAUGGGUUUCAGAUUUUUAUGUAAGGGGUAUAGCAAUAUACACAUUCCCAGUUCCAGUUUAGCGUAUAACCAUUAGGGUUAACAUGUAAGGUUGGCUGUUGGGGACAUUUUGGGCUGGUUGUGAGCAGUGUGGUGGUGCGUGUAGGCCUUUUUCAGUGCCCCUGAGGGUAUCUUAGUGAUAACAGGUAUGCUGGGGUGAUGUUGACUGGAUACUUGAGGUGCAAGUGUAGUAUUGUAAUGGGGGGAGGAGAGAAAAGGGGGGGGAGGUGUGGUUCCUCAUCUUGCUGAUGGUGUCUUGUUACAGUGCCAAUGUACACUUGUCUACAGUAUCCAUGUGUCAGUGCAUAUUGGCAAACCAAACUAGCUAGUUUUAAGGCUUUCUUUUCAAUAGCAAUGCAUGUUACUGCUUUUAUAAUAACACAUUGACAUUAUACUAUCAUUAACAGCGGCACCAUUUAUAAAUAAGAUGCUAGGUUAAGGUUGGGAUUCUAAAGAAGGUUAGGGCAAAGUUAUGAUUAGGGGAAGAGGUGAAGAGGCAGAGAGGGGGCCUAUAACAAAAGGGCUAGGGGGACUUGACUUAUAUUGGGGGAGUUUGUGCUGUAUAUUAGGGGAGUUUGUGCUGUAUAUUGGGGGGUCUGUGCUUUAUAUUGGGCUUAGAUUUUUCCCAUUCAGAGUAGGUUUGAAUAAAAGGUUGGAGAUUGACUGUAUUUAAAAGGAGUCCUGGUCUUGGGGUUCCCAGUUGCCUCCCCAGGAAAUUACCCUUGAAUUUUUUUCUUGUAUAUAUGUUUUUUUUUUUUUUUACGUUUGCCUUAUCUGGGGUGAAAUAUGAAUUAUAUAUGGCACAACAUGGAUUGGUAGUAAAAUAUUGAAUUAUGUGUAUAUGAAAUUAUGGGGUGAAAUGACAUGAACUUGGAAGACGAAUGCAAAUUUUGACUUUUUCUCCCAUGACUCUGACUGAUAUGUUGCAGUGUAUUUCUUAUUUAUCAUUCUACUGACUGCCAUAGCUAGUGUCAUCCAGGGCCACCCAGGUAGUUAGACACAGAAAGUGAUUUAACCCCUUAAGGACACAUGACAUGUGUGACAUGUCAUGAUUCCCUUUUAUUCCAGAAGUUUGGUCCUUAAGGGGUUAAAGUAUAGAUAUGUCUCUGCUAUCAGCUGUGGUUCUAUAAUAGCUGGCAAUACGUCUGCUGUAUCAGGGGCUGCCUGCCAAUAAUAAGCAGAAAUACAUGUGAUUUUAUGCUUCAAUAGCGUGUAAUCCUUAAAACUAUUCUGUUAUCUCUGAGUAAUAGCUCACCAUUGCUAUGUGUUAAAUUACUGCCUUUACUACAGACACUGCGCUUUAAUUGCUUCCAAAGGAUGGUUGCCGCUGUUCUAUCAAAAAACCCUACCCCGUGAAAAUUCCCUACCCUCGUCACUUCCGGUGACGUGGCCGCACCGGAAGUGACUAGGAAAAGCUCUAGGACGGGGGGGAGCGCCGCCACGCAAGCGCACAACUACUAGGUAGGGAAAUUUCACAUUGAGCAGGGGAAAAUAACGGCACAGUGCGCACGCGCGGCACAGUACUCCCAUCGGAGUACCCCAGCCAGAGGGACUGCCCCACAUCUGCAACCAAAUCCGUCGGUCACCGAAUUCAGUAAUCUCUGUCUCUUUGUCCAUUCUGUAUGUAUGGUACUCCCAAUUCUUUUAUUUAAUCCGGUGUGUCUCCCACAAUCUUUGUGUCUGUCUGCUGUAUGUAUGUGGCACGCAAGUCUGCAUGCACUGUGUCUGUUAUGCCAUUUACUCUAACCAGUUUUUCUUUAGUUUUUUUGUGUGUGUCACAACUCUGACAAGCAUGUUCUCCUACGGGACACAAAGUACAUGAAGAGGAAUGAAGAAGCCCAUGUUUGAUACUCGUCUCCAGGGUGGAGUAUUGAAUUUAUAAGUACUGAAGUGGCAUCUGGCACGUGACAAGCUGCUCCUGUUUGCACAGCGACUUCAACAUUGUGUACUGUGAUCACGGCUUAGUUCAGAGGUAGGUAACCUUGGGCAGUCCAGUUGCUGUGAAUUACACCUCCCAUAAUGCUGCAAAGCAUUAUGGAAGGUGUAAUCCAAAACAUCUGGAAUACCGAAUGCGUAUGAAUGAAAAGUAUGGUGUGUGUGAAUGGUCAGUAACAAGGGUUGAAGCCUUGACGUGACGUUACUGCUCACAUGUGUAUCCAUGUGCCAAUUCAACCAAUGUGAGUGACUGUAAUACUUAUGAGGUAACCAUAAAUACCGUGACUAUGGAGAAUUAAAUGCCUGUAUCACCUAAACACUGCUUAUACUGUGACCGUAUCUCCUAAACACUGCGGCCGCACAGGGCGCCAUGGAGCAGGGGGCGCCGUGCGGCUGACACAGCUCACACAUGGCUGGCCGGCAUCUAAAAAAGAAAAUUUGCGGCGGGGGCAGAGCUAAAGGUGCCAGAUAACUGCUGCAGGGGAAGCAGGAAGGAGUGGGGGGGGCGCUGUGAUGAUUUUUGGCACAUGGCGCCUAAAGGCCUAAGGCCGGCCCUGCUCUGUUGCAUUAGACCCAAUUCUGAGAUUAUGACCGAACCCUAAAGCACUUAAAAUGUUUAUGAUAUUUUAUUUAUGUAUUUUGAAUGUUGUGCAAAGACGCCAGAUGGUCACUGUUCCACUUCUAUUCCAGUGGCCAUGAAGGGCAGGUGAAGGUAGUUUUUACUUGACUUAAAAUGUCCUUUGUAUGCAUCUUCUUUCUCAAUGUCCUCUUCAGCUCCUGGAGCGUUAAUCUGCCAGGAGCCAACGGAAGCGCUCUACUCAAGUGUAUGCAUUAGCUCUGUCUUUUGUCAAAAGUAGAAAAAAUACUUAAGAUAAAGUUGUUCCUGUGGGCGUCGCAGAGAUGCUUUAAGUCAAAAUUGAAAGCGCUCUAUCAUUCUUUCUAUUGUACGCCUCUAAUCCUCUACAUGGAAAUUGUAGUUUGUAAAAAUAGAAAAUAUGUAGAUUGUAAUAUGCUUUCUGGUUACGUUCUGGUGAGUUUUAACUUAAUUUUCGAUUUUUACAGCUCCCAAGGGAAGGAGCAAACCGCCUUGAGGAGUCCCUGCAUAAGAGACUAUUGGAUACAGAAGGCUGUACUAAAGGAAGAUCUCAUCACAGCAUCAUCCAAGCCCUAGUCAGGAGUAUAUGAGGCCUCUUUAGAGUAAAGAGCGGCUAACAAUAUCUGAUAAUAGGCCACAUGUGCAAUUAUUAUGUAUAUAAUUAAUGUACAACAUACUUUUUCACUUUUUUGUUACAUUAGAGAUUAACAAAUAUUGUUAGAGUUUUUGUUUACUGCUGCCUUAAAAAAAAUAAUAUUAAAACUCCAAACAUUUUUGAAAUGUGCAGUGAAAUGUGUAUCUGUAAUCAACGUUAACCUGCUAAUUAUUGUGGGACAAUGGAGAGCAACCCCAAACUGGUACUCUAUCAAACAAUCCAGG
rnacentral:lncRNA from 1 species